GCCAGUGUGGCACAGUGGUUUGAGUGUUGGACUACAACUCUGGAGACCAGGGUUUGAGUCCCGGCUCAGCCA